CUUUGGGAUUUUUUUUUCUAAAAUGGCUACUUUUGCUCUUACAAAUUUUACAAAUCAUUUCAAAAUAAAAUUAUUUUCUUCUCCUGAUCCGUUGAUUUCUUAAGUAUAUGCUUGAUCUGACCAUUGGGAAAUCCAGCAUUACCCCGUAGCCUGAUUGCCCAAGGCCAUAUUCUUUAUCAUAGAAUUAAGAACUCAUGAUGAUCUAAUUUCUGCCUACCUCUCCACCACCACCUCCUACUACUCCAAUCCCCAUGAUUUGUGCCUCAGGCACCUAUGUCCUUGCAGACUCUACAGUGGGAACUAAGGUCUUUGUUCCUGGGGAAUGCUGGAGUUGUGCAGCGUGGUAACCCUGUUUUGACUAUAUUUACCUUCAUUGAAGUUACUCCUAGUCCUAUCCCCUAGACACACACACACACACACACACACACACACACACACACACACACACACUAUGCAAGUUCAAGUCUGUGACUUCUUUCAUGCUUCCACAUUACAUGGAAUGCUCCCCCUACCCCAUCUCUCAGACCUAUUCGCCAAGUUAAUUCCUACUACUCUUUGAACCUCAACUCAGACACCCUCUUCUCCAGGCAGCCCCUCCCGAGUGCUCUACUCCUUUACUCAUCACCCCUGCGGGUCUUCAGCAACAUAUUCCAUAUUGGUCUACAAUCACCUUUUGCUAUUUCUCUUCACCGCUAGACUGUAGGAGUGGUAAGGGCAAAGAUUAGUUCUUCUUCAUCUUCAGUCUCUUUAGUUUGAUGGAAUCAAUUAUUUCAAGUUCUUUGCAACAUUGCCUCCUGAAAGUUAUAAUACAGGAGGCUAAAGUCAUUCCUCAAAAAUAUAUGAAAUUGUCCAAAAGCCCUCAGCAUUCUUCCAUCCUUCCUCCUCAAUACAGCUGUCUCACUGCCAAGCCCUGGGUACUUACACACCAGAUUUUCCCAAGAUGUUGUCCAACAGGAAACAUCUUCCUGGAUUUUGCCAUGCCUAGGUGAGGACACUGAGGAUCCAAGAAACAAAGUGACUGUCCUA
rnacentral:lncRNA from 1 species